rnacentral:tRNA from 1 species
GGGGUUGUAGCUCAGUGAUAAAGCACUUGCCUAGCAUGUAUGAAGCACUGAGUUCAAUCCUCAGCACCACA